rnacentral:ncRNA from 1 species
AUCGGGGAUUGCAAUUAUUCCCCAUGAACGAGGAAUUCCCAGUAAGUGCGGGUCAUAAGCUUGCGUUGAUUAAGUCCCUGCCCUUUGUACACACCGCCCGUCGCUACUACCGAUUGGAUGGUUUAGUGAGGCCCUCGGAUCGGCCCCGCCGGGGUCGGCCCACGGCCCUGGCGGAGCGCUGAGAAGACGGUCGAACUUGACUAUCUAGAGGAAGUAAAAGUCGUAACAAGGUUUCCGUAGGUGAACCUGCGGAAGGAUCAUUA